UUGGGGUGUCCCUGGGGAUGGGAGAGGUCACUGCAGUGCAACUCCAAAGGAGGGCAGAACUCACCUCCCACAACUCACCAGGGUGCAGCCCUGCCUCUCAUUGGGCUGCUCCACAAGCUCCACUGUGCCUUAAACCAUCCUUUUUAACCCCAAACUGAGAGGUGGUAGUGCAGGCAGCAGUGCUGGCACAUUUAGUGGGAGAUGCCACCCCUAUCCCCCUUCACUGGAAGCUGCAAUGAGCAGCAGCUGCUGAAAAUAGCCUUGCAGAGAAGCUCUGCUGCAGUCAGAGCACACGAGAAGAGCUCGAUGUUCUACCCUUCUUUCCUCACAUACUUUAGAAAAGUUAAUUAAAGGAGGCUGGGAUCUGAAAAGUGAGAAGUACCGUUGCCAAAGCAGCUCCUCCGUGCUCCUUUUAUUGCUCCUCUGACCUGAACACGAGCACAGACCUCAUUCCUGCUCCUUCCAUGCCAUAUUUCCACAAACUUAAUGGUUACAAUGUGGGAAGCAGCAAGAGAUUAUCAGAGGCUCAGAUAAGAUGGAUCUAAUGGCUGAGUUGCAGUUUAUAGGGUAAGUACAAUCACUAUUUAACACAUCCCCCCCCCCAUUUCCUCUUUUGCAGGCGCAGGGAAAUUGAAUUAUUUACCCCAAAUUUCACAUGAAGUCAUUCAGAGUGAGGGAAUUGGCCAAGGUAAUAACAUGUGCAGAAUUUCUGCGAUAAAGAGAAUAUGGAAUUGAGACCAGUGCAUCUUCUUUUCCUGUACCAGAUGAGUGUUCAUAGCUAUCACCUUGCUGUGCAAGAGAUUUUUCCCUCUCCCAUCCUGUGAAGUCCCAGCCAGCUAUGAUGUACUGAAGCAGCAGAGACAAAAUCUUUAACAAAUGGGGCCAGGAAGGAAACAGCUUUAAUUCUUUGGCCAGAAAGCCUCUCUGAUGAGCAGUGGUUUACAUGACUACACACAGACAAGAACCCUCUGGGCUUUUUUUAAAGUCUUGUGGUCUUCAUAUUUAUAGGAGAAAAAUGCCAAGAAAUAUCAAAGCUGUAUCUUGUCUCGCUUUGUUAGCACGAUUCCCCAGCCUGCAGAAUUGAUUCUUUUUAUGGGACAUGCAGGAACCCCUCUUUUCCCAUCUGUUUCCAGUGAGGACCAUCCAAGCUUGGCACAGAGACCCUCCAACAGCUUUCAGUAAGGCCUUCAGCCUCCAGCCUCGAAGCUGAAAGUCACCAUGGCCCUUUCAUGCUUAAAUUCCUGGUAGGAAGUUUGGUUUUCAUGCUUUACUAUGGUUUUCCUCCCAACUUUGAUCUUCACUCUUGGGAGUCUCAUUUACACUCAGCUGCAUCCGCAUCUCUGGCCUUAAUCUUUCAUAACGGAGUGCCCUACUUAUCAAAGUGUGACAGCUCUCCUAACCCCCCACCCACUCCCCAGUGGAGAUGCAGGAGUCUCUCCAACUGUUAUGAAAACAGAUAAGUUAAAUUGGCUAAGCUGCUUCUUGUCAUACUCCAAAUAUUUGGUCUCCUCUGUCACUACAGCUCGAGGCCUGCGGCUUGAGGCCUUCAGUUCUCGAUCAAGAGCCCCCAGAUCCAGAGGGUCUGAGGGAAGUUUUUCAGAGGGUUUCCAUGGAAAACUGGUUCAUUUUGGCUCGUCCUUUUGCUGGACACUGCUUUGCUCUUGAAUUAUAGAAUUGUAGGAUGUCCUGAGUUGGGUGGGACCCGCAGGGAUCAUCAAAUCCCACCUUGUCCAAAUGCUCCUGAAGCUCUGGGGGCCGUGCCCAUUCCCUGGGGAAUGUUCAGUUCCCCACCACCCUCUGGGGAAAGAACCUUUUCCAAAUACCCAACAAAACCUCCCCUGAUACCCCUGCCAGCCAUUCCCUCAGCUCCUGUCCCUGAUCACAGCGAGCAGAGCUUUGAGGGCCACCUCAGAGUCUGAUAAUUCCUGUAUUCUCACCAUGCCUGUGUCAGCAUGAGUCAGCAGUGCCAUCAUUUGGGAUGUGGUGCAUGAGUAAUCACCCUCAGCCACGCAGAGCAGGACAGCAUCUCCCCCUGGGUCUGUGCUCCUGUGAACAUUCCCUCUGCAGGAAAAACAGUGCUCAGAGGUUUAUGAGCAAUGACUUUUUUUGGGGGGGGAAAAAAGAAAAUUAAAUCUGAGAGACUUGUUUAUUCUUUUAUUGGUGAGAACAGAAGGCUGAAAGUGCAACUUGAAAAUUGCAUCAAAGGGAGAAGCAGAGCUGGGAGCACACAGUUCCUCGUGUCCACUGGAGAUGAGACCCACCAGACAGCUCUGGGAUUCUUCUCAAAGAGAAAAACCCUCUUGUGGCAUCUCCAUCUGACACAGGGGUUCUGCUGCCCUGCAGGGUUUAAUAGGUUUUGCCUGCAUUUGCUGGCCUGCUGUGGGUUGGUGACAGGUUUUUUUCCCCUCAGCUUCCUCCUCAGCAGUCCAUUUAGAAGUGGCUCAUAUUUUGUUAUUACCUCUGAUGGCUUUGCAAACGACUGUGUCUAGGAGUUAACUCUCAUUUAUGAUCUCCUCAUAAUGAUAAAGUGGUUCUUUUAAGAGUCCUGUUGCUUGCCAAAAACCUAUUAUUGCAAAAGUCUGAAGCCAUUUCUGAAAUAAUUUAUUGGACAACUGCACUCGGAGCAAGAAGCUCCCAUUUAAUACCAGUAUUUAAAUACAUUUUAAUGUACCCAUAACCAGAAAACCCAGAUGCCAUGGAUAUAAGCUUAGCAUUAUCUUUCUCUUCAAAAGAACCAUUUUCCCCAGCCCUUUCUAAAUGUUCCAUUCCCCCCUGAAGCAGAUUUCAGGAAGGACACUUGGAGAAGUUUGCUGAGCCAAGGGAUCUCCAUGAAGAGGAAGCAGCACAGAAGGACAGACAGCUUCCAGGAACAAUCUGCUGAGCUCACAAAUCCAAAGGUGAUUUGUUGAGCUGUCACCUCUCCGUGGAGGGGUUUGAAAACCCCGCUCUUUUCCAGGGGCCUCUUCCAUCACCACUGUUAAUAAGGAUUCCAGGACUGGAAACUGCCUGACACGCUGCUGAUGGAUGCACAAGGCUGAGUAAACUCCAGCUUUUGCUCUGCUGCAGCUCCCUCUGCUUAUCAGGGAUAAGAAGGAGCCAUAGUUCAGCCCCAGUUUGAGUUAACACAGAGGUGCACGGAGGGAAGAUUAAAAAAGCAGGAUGGUCUAGUGGGUUAAGACAACUCUGAGGCCUUAAUUCAAUCCUAAAUUUAAAAUAAUCAUGGUGUCUGUGCUCUACACUCACUCAACUAUGAGAAAAACAGUGUAGAAUUAAUCAAAAUUAUUAACAUGUAAAUAAUAUUUUUUUUAAACAUUGCUUUUAUUUGACCAAAACAGGUAGAACUGCCUGAGGUUUGAAGGAGCAUUUCCCAAGGUUUCAAGAAGCAUUUCUCAAAUGGUUUUUAUGGUUCUGCCAUGAGACUUCCCAAAUGGUGAAAGACACCUGUGCUACAUGAUGGGGGGAAAAAAAUAGAAUUGAUGUGUGGUAGCUGGAGAAAGGCUCCAGUUUAAUGUGUUAUCCAAUUCUCCUGAUUUGUGGGAAUUAGUAACUCAAAUAAAGCAGAACUCAUUUUCUUCCUUUCUCACAAUGCACAAAGAGGAGAAUGCAGAAAGGAUACAAGAGGGAAAUA